rnacentral:tRNA from 1 species
CGGGGCGUGGCGCAGCCUGGUUAGCGCGUCGGUCUGGGGGACCGAAGGUCCCCGGUUCAAAUCCGGGCGCCCCGA